UACCGGGGCUAAACAUAUUACCGAAACUGUGGAUGAACCUCUUUAGAGGUUCGUGGUAGGAGAGCGUUCUAAGGGCGGUGAAGUCAGACCGGAAGGACUGGUGGAGCGCUUAGAAGUGAGAAUGCCGGUAUGAGUAGCGAAAGAAGGGUGAGAAUCCCUUCCACCGAAUAUCUAAGGUUUCCUGAGGAAGGCUCGUCCGCUCAGGGUUAGUCGGGACCUAAGCCGAGGCCGAUAGGCGUAGGCGAUGGACAACAGGUAGAGAUUCCUGUACCAGUGCUAAUUGUUUAACCGAUGGGGUGACACAGAAGGAUAGGGAAUCGCACGAAUGGAAAUGUGCGUCCAAGCAGUGAGUGUGAG
rnacentral:rRNA from 1 species